AACAAUUCUGGUUAAAGGCUGUACAAGCGGUCCCUGUACUAUUCUUGUACCUUUCUGAAGACUGGAAAUUACAUCAAUAUUAAAAAUUGACACCGGGGGCUGGCCCAGUGAUGCAGCAGUUAAGUUGACACGUUCUGCUUCGGCAGCCUGGGGUUCACCUGUUUGGAUCCUGGGUGCGGACAUGGCACCACUUGGCAAGCCAUGCUGUGGCAGGCGUCCCACAUAUAAAGUAGAGGAAGAUGGGCACGGAUGUUAGCUCAGGGCCAGUCUUCCUCAGCAAAAAGAGGAGGAUUGGCAGCAGAUGUUAACUCAGGGCUAAUCUUCCUCAAAAAAAGCAAAAUUGAUACCAGCACUGGUAAAAUAACAGAAAGUGCCAGAUUGUCAAAUCAGAUGCACAAGAAUCAGAAAUUGUACCAAUUCCAAGCAUUCUAAUAGUUUAACCUAUACAAGUAAUUGCAAGGCACAGGGAAACCAAAAAGGAGUCCAGGAUUUCAACACUGCCUCCCAGGUUCUUUCUUGCCAUGUUUGAAUGGUUUCUGGCUCAGAUUUAACAUUUGAAGUUGCUAAAUGAGGCAUGCAGUCCUUACUUACACAAAAGGAAUCUAGCUCAGUCAUAAGAUACCUCCAUUUUUUACUCCAACAAUUACAUAGCUUACAUGAAAACUUCAGGGAGCCAUCUCCCAGAAAUCCCUAGAUACUGAGUUGGUUUAACACAAUCUAACCUAAACAGACUGGAUAAGGACUCUCCACUAGUAAAUAACAUUAUAUGUUUUCCAGGAGGAGUAUCACUAGCAUCUUAUAUGGGGAUUUGACCAAGUCAUCUUUCUUACUUACCCUGGCUGUCCCUGAUAAAGAGAGGGAAUGGAUUGCUGGAUGACUCCUAGUCCUUAUGUUCCCAACUGGAAGGUGAAUGAGGGAGUUCUAACACCUUAAAGAACAGGUAUGUAAGGCAAAGUCGUUAAUUCCUUGGAUUUUGAACAUGGAAAAAUAUACUGUGAACCUUGGCAGAGGAUAUCUUACAGGGCAGGCCAACAAAAGUGGGAUGACAAAUGAAAAGUUUGAAGAGGUUUCCUCCAACAGACCGCUAAGCAUCUCCCACACCAUUGCACCAGACUGCAUGCACCCACCGGGGUUCAGAUCAGCCUUUAUGCUAGACAGAAGAUGUUAUCUUUUAUUUGCUGUUGUCAUUAAUUGUGGAAUUCUUUUUACUAUGUAUUUCUUGCUUUGGGAAGCAUAUUUCCAUUUCUCAUAUUUUGGUAUGGCACAUUAUAGGAAUUACAAGCACUGUAGGCAGAUUGUCAUACAUUUGGGAGAAUGCAGGUAAGAAAUUCCUUUAACAUUUGAGCUUAUCCGGGAAAAGAGACAGAGAGAGAGAGAGAGAGAUGUUGCAUUGUCUAAUUUUCUAUUGUUCCCAUGUUAAAAGGCAAAAUCACUCCUUAAAUUCUUUUUUAUUUUGCAAGAGAAUGCUACCAUAAAGAAUAAAAAUGAUAAGCAGAGAACUCA
rnacentral:lncRNA from 1 species